GGGCGCUUAGCUCAGUUGGUAGAGCGUCUGCCUUACAAGCAGAAUGUCGGCGGUUCGAUCCCGUCAGCG
rnacentral:tRNA from 6 species